AGAGAUCAAAACGGGAAUGGAAUUGAAUCAUCUGGAGAGGAUCUGCAAACAGGAGUGGGACAAAAUCCCUCCUGAGAUCUGUGCAAACCUGGAUGCCAACUACAAGAAACAUCUUUAUCUCUGUGAUUGCCAACAAGGGUUUUGCCACCAAGUACUGAGACAGUUGAAGGGGUCAAAUACUUAUUUCACUCAUUGACAUGCAAAUCAAUUUAUAACUUUUUUGAUGUGUUUUUCUGGAUUUUUUUUUUUGUUAUUCUGUCUCUCACUGUUAAAAUACACUUACCAUUAUAAUUAUAGACUGAUCAUUUCUUUGUCAGUGGGCAAACGUACAAAAUCAUCAAAUACUUUUUUUCCCUCACUAUAUACUUGAGCCAAAAUUGAGGACUUCGGCACAUGAUUUUAUUUUC